CCUACGGGAGGCUGCAGUGGGGAAUAGUGGGCAAUGGGCGCAAGCCUGACCCAGCAACGCCGCGUGAAGGAAGAAGGCUGUCGGGUGGUAAACUUCUGUUGUCAGGGAAGAGGAGAAGACGGUACGUGACGAAUAAGCCACGGCUAACUACGGGCCAGCAGCCGCGGUAAUACGUAGGUGGCAAGCGUUGUCCGGUUUUACUGGGUGGAAAGGGCGUGUAGCCGGGUUGACAAGUCAGAUGGGAAAUCCUGCGGCUUAACCGAAGACCUGCAUUUGACACUGUUGAUCUUGAGUACUGGAGAGGCCGCCGGACUUCCUAGUGUAGCGGUGACAUGCGUAGCUAUUAGGUGGAACCCCAGUGGCGACGGCGGUCUGCUGGACCGCAACUGACGGUGCUGCGCGAACGCGUGGGGCGCAAACAGGAUUAGAUACCCCUGUAGUC
rnacentral:rRNA from 1 species